rnacentral:rRNA from 1 species
UACGUAGGAGGCAAGCGUUGUCCGGAAUUACUGGGCGUAAAGAGCGCGUAGGCGGUCCGGUAAGUCCGCUCUGAAAGCCCGGGGCUCAACCCCGGGAGGCGGGCGGAUACUGUCGGGCUAGAGUCCGGAAGAGGCGAGUGGAAUUCCUGGUGUAGCGGUGAAAUGCGCAGAUAUCAGGAGGAACACCGAUGGCGAAGGCAGCUCGCUGGGACGGUACUGACGCUGAGGCGCGAAAGCGUGGGGAGCAAACAGG